GCAUGACUCUUCAACCUCAGGACUUGCAGAAGUAAUGGAAUGCCAUCCUAAGGUUGUUGAGUUGUGC
ensembl:miRNA